rnacentral:lncRNA from 1 species
UCCAGUGGGGUGGGGGAGGAGAGUCUUCUUCACAAACAUUCUUGGAAGCCCAUCCCUUGGCUUGGCCUGUCCCCAGCUUGAGUGACUGACACUCACUUGGUCUUGCAGUAGGCCACCACACAGACGAUGCCCACGACCAGCAGUGCCACGCAGAUGCCCGUGAUGGUCAGGACCCUCUUCUGGUACAGCUCCUCGGCUUCUGCAGAGAACUCAAAAUGGCUUCACACUGUGACUCAAAUGCAACCGAAAGCCUUACCAUGGCCUCUGAGGCCCCCGGCUGCUUGGUCCCAGCCUUCCUUUUGGAUCUCAUCUGUGGUCCUCUCCCUGCGUUCACUGUGCUUCAGAGCUGCUGGAAGUCUCUCCAUCCACUGAACAAGGCAAGCCCACUCCAACCACAUGAUCUCUAUACCUGCUGUGCCGCCCUCUGCAGGACUCCCCCCUGGUUGUUUGCAGGGUUGGCCACUUUUCAUCAGGUCUUAAAACAGAUGUCACCUCCUCAGAUAAACCUUCCCUGACCACUUAGCUACACUAGCACCCCACUCCAGCCAGGCACUAUCCCAUUACCUCAUUUUAUUUUCUGUGCAGCACUGAACACCACCUGAUGUCUUUCCUGUUUGCUUGUUGUCACCUGUGAAUGUGAGCCCAGGAGGGCAGGGACUGUGUGUCUGGUAAAUUCUGUUCCAUAGAUGUUUGUUGCAUUGGUGAGUGAGUGAAUAUACAGACCAGCCUUAUAGACAUUGACAUAUCUGCACACUCACACUCAUCUCCACGCCCUCACAGUUCCACCUGCACAGUGCUCAACCCUUAACACAAAGGCGUUCACAGCCCCUCCACCUGCUGACAUCUUGCCCUGACAGACCUCACAAGGUGUAUACUCUCAACAACACACACGUACCUGCAGAUUCACGCCUGUGCACCCUGCCACCAUCACAGACCCCACACAGACUCAAUGCCUCUCCCACCACCCCAUCACAGCCAGUAGCUAUAGACAGAUGCACUCUUACACACAAACUUUGCAAUCUAUCUUCUACUGAGAACAGCUGAUAGAGGAUAGGUGGUGGGGCUAGGAGGCCUCCCCAAAUCAGCCACGAGAGCAGCCUUUCCGUAACUGUAGGCUCUACACCAUGUCUGAGAUCCCACCCCACUGGAGCCCCCACCCUCUGAGCCCCUGCCUCUCUCCUCCUGUCAUAUGCCUGGACACUUGAGCUAUGGAGGAGCCUCCCGGUGCAAAGCCAGAGAGCCAGAAACACUAACCCCUUAAAGUCCCUUCUAGCCCAAGGAGUCUUCCGGGGGCCAGAGGGUGGUAGUAGCAGGUGGCAGGAGGACACAGGUAAGAUUCUGAGCUGGGAGACAAGGGGCAGGUACUAGAGGCCAGCCCCACCCAGACCCUGGCUGGUCUUGCCAAUGUGGGGUCAGAUCAUGGAGGGAAUGACAGCCUCAAGCAGAUGGCAAAGCCGGGCAGACAGACACAGGGCAGGGACAGAGACAAAUAGAGAGUUAUCAGCUGCUGGCCUGGUGCAGGAUGAAAAGCAAUGAACAUGGAAAUGGGGAAUGGAAAGAAGACUAAAGUCAAAUGGAAAGGGAUGCCUCUCUGCACAACUCUCCAAACCAGGCUUCUGUGGUUCCUGGACACCAGCCCUUCAAGGGGCCAUGUUCACACAUGGGGCCUAUCUCUUGUCCAGCCAGCCUGCGGGUCUGCACUCAGCUCAGGAGGGGGCCCUCCCCUCUGAGCUCUCCUAGCAAUAAAUCUCCCCUAUGUGAGGGAUGCUACUGUACACUGAGGGCAACGGUCUGAACCCCUGAGUGCCCUUCUGUUCAUGAGCUUCUUUUGUCUCCUGCUAAAUCAACGUAGUUUAUGAUAGGACAUCUCGAUGGGGCCAGGAGAGAUUUUUGGAAUCAUCCCUUUUCCAUUUUUUGGAAAGGAAACCAAACAUUCAGCACACAUGGCAUCGGAGGCUGUGGAGAGGGGCCACGCAGAUGGUGCUGAGUGACACACGGAGGUUUCAUACCCUUUAAUUCAAAUCCAAGGUGCUCUGGCAGUGCAGAAGAGCAGAGGGUCAGAAAGGGAGGGGUGGAGGGAGAGAGACAGGUGGGUGGGGACAGGGGGAGAGAGAGAGACAGAAACGUUGGUCAGGACUCCUCAGACACCGGGCAGCCAUCCUGCGAGGUGAAAGCAGGUUAGUAGUGUCCCCUCCCAGCCUCCUGAGCUCCUUCCCUGACACCCAGUCCCCAAGAGCCCCAAGGAGGGUAGAGAGAGAUGUUAGAAACAGCAGGCAGGGCAGGCUCUUUAGAGAUGAGCUGUGGGGUUAGUACCUGGUGGCGAGGCAGAGGCGCAAGAGUCAGUUGGCAAGUGUCCCUGGGAGGAAAGGUAAGUGGGGGUGGGGGUCUCAGGAGCCCCCCUGCUCCUCCCAGCAUCAGUGCCAGGCCUUCAGCACUCUCAACUCUCAAGCCUUCCUGCAGACAGCUUGCCCAGCUCCCUCACUGGGGGCCCAAUUUUUUUUUUUUUGUUCAGAG